UUGAUAACAGAUGGAUGUUGCUGUGCUGGUUAGAUUAGUAAAUUCUGGGGUUUGAUAACAGAUGGAUGGAGCUGUGCUGGUUAGAUUAGUAAAUUCUGGGGUUUGAUAACAGAUGGAUGGUGCUGUGCUGGUUAGAUUAGUAAAUUCUGGGGUUUCAUAACAGAUGGAUGGUGCUGUGCUGGUUAGAUUAGGAGGUUCUGGGGUUUGAUAACAGAUGGAUGGUGCUGUGCUGGUUAGAUUAGUAGGUUCUGGGGUUUGAUAACAGAUGGAUGGUGCUGUGCUGGUUAGAUUAGUAGGUUCUGGGGUUUGAUAACAGAUGGAUGGUGCUGUGCUGGUUAGAUUAGUAGGUUCUGGGGUUUGAUAACAGAUGGAUGGUGCUGUGCUGGUUAGAUUAGUAUGUUCUGGGGUUUGAUAACAGAUGUAUGGAGCUGUGCUGGUUAGAUUAGUAGGUUCUGGAGUUUGAUAACAGAUGGAUGGUGCUGUGCUGGUUAGAUUAGUAGGUUCUGGGGUUUGAUAACAGAU